UGGAGAAGCAAGGUAGCAAAGAGCCCUGGAUUGUGACAGAAUGGGCAGGCACAGAUUUUCUCCUGUGAAGGAAGUGACAUUAUUGUUCUGGUUAUUAAUGCUUAGUACUGGAGAAAAAAUUCCAGAUUCUUACACCAUCCUUUUCACCGACAAAUCUCAGAGCUCUUCCAUUUUACAGGCGACAAGGAGUGAAGGCUUUUCUCUGGCUGAUUACCUGGUUUCAUGUAACUGCACCACGAGAGACAAAAUCCAAAUGGUGAUGGACGUAAGGGCUUGUGGAUCUCUUCAAGGAAAUUUUUCUUACAGUAAUUUUUCUUAAAGUGGAAAGCAGCACAUGUAUUGAUAACCUUGGAUAUAAUUGUCAGGAGAGAAUUGCUUGCUAAGGGGCAGGCUCCACCGCAAUUAGAAGUUACGCUGUGUUGUGCUUGUUAUGAAGUUAUGAUGCAGAAGCCAUUUGGUGAAAUUCUAUGGCUCUCUGCCAAGCAUAGUGAAUGGUUUUUGCUACUGGUGCCAAACAAACUUAAAAAGAAACCAUCAUAGCUUGUUUUUGCUGGUGCCGGCCCAAAUAUCUGUUGGCAUCAAACUUGGUAUUGAUGCCAGAGGCUUGCUGUCACUGGCCCGUGAUAUGAGGAAACACCAGCUGAGCUAUUACAAUUCAAGUCCAUGCAUCGAUGGAGGAAAGUGAACAACCUUGUAAGAGAAUUACAGCAAAAUUAACCGAGGGAUGAAGGACUUCGAAUAUGUGAUGGAGACUCACUGAACUUUGCUAGCCCUUGCUGGAGUACACCUAAGCCAACUCGAACCCACACAUAUUUUACAUGGGUAAACAGUGACUAGAGAUAUGAAGGAUAUGUUUCAAUUCAACUAAGUUUAAGUACUAUUUAUAGCACCGUGGAUCAACAAAUUAAUCACCUUGCCAAUAAUAUUCCAGUUGAACAGCAAUAAGUAUUUAACAUUCUUACUUCUGGGUUGGAUUUUUGUUGUUGUUUCUUCGUUUUCAAAAAGCUAUUUCUGGGUGGAAUCCCAUGAUUUAUAUAAGCAUUAGCCAAAUAUAUAAAUAAAAAAUGGUGGAAAAACCUUUUUGAUUCUUAUUUUUUCCAAGACCAAGUGAAAUGCAUUAUAAUGGAGCGAUUUGGGAGCAGGCUGCUGACAGUCAGACUUUGCUGUGGUAGGCAGGAUUUGGCAGUACUACCCCUAUAUUGUACCUCUCUGGUGCAUUUUCUGUCCUCCAUUUGCUGUGUUCUGUUUUCCUUCUCUGCAACCUCCCUGGACAGCUCCAGAACCAUUGAUAUCUUUGAAAAUCUGGUCCGUGCUGCUGCUGCUUACUCCUGGAACAGAGACCAGAGUUAUACUGAGGCUACAGCCACUGCAGCACCUCAGGUGGUGGGAGAUGGGGUUUUAUGUCCUGCAAACUGGUUCUAGAAACAGGGCAUGUUUUCACCACCUUUCAGAUGGCAGAGAAAUGUAACAAAAGUUUGGGGACCUGGUCCUUCUGUUGCUGCAGAUGUAAUAAAGUCAUUACUUUGUUGAGUUGCA